CUGUAGGCUGCAACUCGCCUACACGAAGUCGGAAUCGCUAGUAAUCGCGGAUCAGCAUGCCGCGGUGAAUACGUUCCCGGGCCUUGUACACACCGCCCGUCACACCAUGAGAGUUGGAAAUACCCGAAGCCUGUGAGCUAACCGUAAGGAGGCAGCAGUCGAAGGUAGAGUCAAUGAUUGGGGUGAAGUCGUAACAAGGUAAC
rnacentral:rRNA from 1 species